rnacentral:tRNA from 1 species
GCGGUGGUAGUUCAGUUGGUAGAACGUCUGCUUCCCAAGCAGAAGGUCGCCGGUUCGAAUCCGGUCCACCGCU